rnacentral:misc_RNA from 1 species
CGAUGUCUUUAAUCUCCUUGUCCUUUGAUCUUCAAAGGCUAAAGGAUCAAAGAACAAACAAGUUCAGUAGAGGAGUAGUAGUUAGGCGCUGAGAGAGAGCGGCUCCGUAAACAAAAGGUUUCCACUUUCCGCUCUCCUGUUUGUGUCUGUUUUCACUCGGCUUUUGGAAGAUCAAUCUUUUCGAUGAUGUUGACGAAUAUGGAACGAAUCCCAAAGCUAAAAGCUGAAGACCCAACCCAGCAGCUUACUCUUCUUUCUUCUCAAUCUCCA